GGUCAAGUGAAUAAGCGCAUACGGUGAAUGCCUAGGCGGUAAGAGGCGAUGAAGGACGUUGUAGCAUGCGAUAAGCCACGGUUAGUUUGCAAACUAACUUUGAUCCGUGGAUUUCCGAAUGGGGAAACCCGGCCAGGACAACCUGGUCAUCAAUGACUGAAUACAUAGGUCAUUAGAAGCGAACCCGGGGAACUGAAACAUCUAAGUACCCGGAGGAAAAGAAAUCAACCGAGAUUCCCUUAGUA
rnacentral:rRNA from 1 species